GUUUGGCAGAACGGAAGCCUGUCUCUCCAUUUCAGAAGGGCCAGGGGAAGCAAGCCUCUGGCUUUCAGGACUCAUCUCUGUUUACUGGUUUGCAAGUUGGGAGUUCGCUUCUCUCUUCAGUCCUGAAAAGGUAAGAAUCAAGUGUUACAAGAAGUGAGUUUGAUCCGUUCCAUUUUGUUCCAGAGCUUGUUUGACCUUUGGAUAAACAACUAAAACCUUCUAGAAGCACCUCAAAGGGAUGCAAGAACGCACGUGCUAUUUGAAUAGCAGAAAGGUUUUACGUGGAUCCCUGACAGUAUACAAAGUAUUAUUUAUAUGAGCGCUUAAAAAAAAAAAAAAGCACUUGUAAAAUAUACACUCUUCAGCAAUAGCCAAAUAUGGAAGGCGUGGAUAUGGGAUCGCAUACGCAGGCAGACUCUGGAAAUGGGGAGAGCCAUGCCUGUCCUUUCCUUUGCAUCGUGCGUUCACAUGACUACGAAUUCCACCCAAGGAUGUCUGGAGUUGGCCAAAUGGAGACCCCCAAGGACGUAAAGAAGCAGCAUGGAUAGUAGGGGGUAUCUGGAAAGCCGAAGCUCACAGACAAAAGGCCUGCACCAUCUCUGUCAUGGACAGCCUGGGCAUCUUGGGCUAAUUGGUCCUCCCACCCAACCCCCCAUCCAGAUAAACCCCCUUCCUGUCUCCAGUUAGGAAAAUAAAAAUAGGCAUUUAAGGUAUAAUAACAAUUAGCAAAAUAAAAUAUAAUAAGAUAAAACAAAAAUGAUCCCGUCAGACUUGGAUAGAAGAGCCUUUCAAUCUUAAGGUCCGCAGAGGAUUGUAUGGCACCCAUUAUUUGGCAUCGUCAGCAUCUGGUGCAGGAGCCAGCACAUCACAGCUGCGUAGUGACUACACAGUCACCGAAUCCUUCCUGGGGCUCAGGGGGCCUUUGAUAAACUGGAGACCCUGAGAACUGCACGGAUGAACUUGGCAGCUUAUGCAGGAAAGUAGUGCCUGCCGUGGAGGUCCCAGGACAAGUGGCAGCAGAAAUGGAAUCCUUCCGCUGUGCAGUAGAAGGGUCUGGGACCAACAGAUUUUCUUCCUAAGAGCAACGUGCUCCUGAAUGUUCAGCAGAGGCUGCUCUGGCAUGGUGCCAGUCUGAUGACUCAUGGACUCAUAACUCAAGGAUCUCGGCUGGCCCGAGCACAAAGCUGCAGGGGCACUGGCCAGCCCCACCUGCAUGACAUACUCAUAGACAGAAGGGGCACUGGUAACUUGCCAGGGUGGCGUGAGUCCCGGUAGAGAUGUUGACCACCCGUAAGAAAUCCAGACAUAUACACUACAAAGAAUUGUCUGUUAAUCUCCUGUGAGCAGGGUGCAAAUGUACUAGGCUCCGAAUAUAAGGGUUUCAUCUGUAAACUAAGAACGCAAGUUUCUGUCUCUUUGCAGCCCAGGCAAAUCCUCAGACUCAACCAUAAAGAGUGGAAAGGAAGAAGGGAGGUUGGCUUGGUCAUUUGACGGCCAGACUGUGAGUGUCAGAGCCCAGAGUCUGCUGGGGAGUUCACUAACUCCAAGGCAACUGAGCUCGCUAAUCCUUUUAAGUCAGGACAGACUUGUUUGUCUAGCAGGGAGGGAGGAGUGAAGCUUCAUUAGACUGCAGAAGUGGACAGGCUGAAGAAAAUCCCCUUAGACAGGUUGGUUGGCUUCACGGCCCUUGUUUUAACUUUCUUGUCAAGGCAUAUUGAAAAAAAAUUUAUAUCACCAGGGCAAAGCACCAGCUGGAAUUUCUUGCUCAAAGCAAAUCUCUCCAUGCCCACCUUGGCCACAACUUCAACCUUUUCAGAAAACUGCCCUUGAACUUUGACCUUUUGGUAAUGCUUGACCUCGAUGAGAUCUGGACUGUGUUUUGGCAAGGGUAGUCACUAGCGAGCGGGGUACUUGACUGUUCCUGGUUCACAUUAAAGGGUUUUGGGGUUUGGUUUGGUUUGGCUUGGCUUCUUUCUAAGUGACUUUGAGAUAGAAUGUCAGAUCAAUUCAUCUGUGUCAGAUUCUAAAUUCGAAGAAAUUUGGGGCAAAUUUUGGAAUAUCAUGAGGUGGGAAGGUUGCCCUACGGUAAUUGGCUAUAGAGGGCAGAGUUGGUUGUGUAUAGUGUGACUUCAGGUUUUGGCUGGCAACAGGCUACCUCAGCCGGGUUCAUUCUGACUCAUCCUCUUCAAAUCAUGCUGUGAUUGGUCAGGCCUCUCCUUCACUAGGUCAAGGGUCAAAAUGCUAUUUGAGUUUAAAGAUGCAGAACCUGAGCUGGGUAGAUAAAAAGUUUCUUUUUAAAAGUGGUGGGUGAGGGAUUGGAGAUUUAGCUCAGUGGUAGAGCGCUUGCCUAGCAAACGCAAGGCCCUGGGUUCAGUCCCUAGCUCCGAAAAAAAGAAAAGAAAAAAUAAAUAAGUAAAUAGAAUAAUAACAAUGUACACUAAGAAUUGUGUAUGAUUUUUUUCCCUUAGAAAAAACAUGAAAUCUAGAGGAUAAGAUUCUUUCUGUAGGUAGUAGCUUUUUCUCUGGGCUUUUAGGGCCCGGGAGGGGCAAGUUUCUGUUGCUUCAGAACUUGAGACAACAACUAUCAUU
ensembl:lncRNA